rnacentral:rRNA from 1 species
UGAUGGACGAAAGUCUGACGGAUUACGCCGCGUGAGUGAUGAAGGUUUUCGGAUCGUAAAACUCUGUUGUUAGGGAAGAACAAGUGCCAUAGUAACUGAUGGCGCCUUGACGGUACCUAACCAGAAAGCCACGGCUAACUACGUGCCAGCAGCCGCGGUAAUACGUAGGUGGCAAGCGUUGUCCGGAAUUAUUGGGCGUAAAGCGCUCGCAGGCGGUUCUUUAAGUCUGAUGUGAAAUCUUACGGCUCAACCGUAAACGUGCAUUGGAAACUGGGGAACUUGAGUGCAGAAGAGGAGAGUGGAAUUCCACGUGUAGCGGUGAAAUGCGUAGAGAUGUGGAGGAACACCAGUGGCGAAGGCGACUCUCUGGUCUGUAACUGACGCUGAGGAGCGAAAGCGUGGGGAGCGAACAGGAUUAGAUACCCUGGUAGUCCACGCCGUAAACGAUGAGUGCUAGGUGUUAGGGGGUUUCCGACCCUUAGUGCUGAAGUUAACGCAUUAAGCACUCCGCCUGGGGAGUACGGCCGCAAGGUUGAAACUCAAAAGAAUUGACGGUGGCCCGCACAAGCGGUGUGAGCCUGUGGUUUUAUUCGAAGCCACGCGAAGACACUUACCAGGUC